rnacentral:rRNA from 1 species
AUUGAACGCUGGCGGCAGGCCUAACACAUGCAAGUCGAGCGGAUGAAGGGAGCUUGCUCCUGGAUUCAGCGGCGGACGGGUGAGUAAUGCCUAGGAAUCUGCCUGGCAGUGGGGGAUAACGUCCGGAAACGGGCGCUAAUACCGCAUACGUCCUGAGGGAGAAAGUGGGGGAUCUUCGGACCUCACGCUAUCUGAUGAGCCUAGGUCGGAUUAGCUAGUUGGUGGGGUAAAGGCCUACCAAGGCGGCGAUCCGUAACUGGUCUGAGAGGAUGAUCAGUCACACUGGAACUGAGACACGGUCCAGACUCCUACGGGAGGCAGCAGUGGGGAAUAUUGGACAAUGGGCGAAAGCCUGAUCCAGCCAUGCCGCGUGUGUGAAGAAGGUCUUCGGAUUGUAAAGCACUUUAAGUUGGGAGGAAGGGCAGUAAGUUAAUACCUUGCUGUUUUGACGUUACCAACAGAAUAAGCACCGGCUAACUUCGUG